rnacentral:rRNA from 1 species
GAUGAACGCUGACAGAAUGCUUAACACAUGCAAGUCAACUGUGGCGGACGGGUGAGUAACGCGUAAAGAACUUGCAUCACAGCUAGGGACAACAUUUGGAAACGAAUGCUAAUACCUGAUACUGUGAGAGAGCUUUGCGUCCCAUUAGCUAGUUGGAGAGGUAACGGCUCACCAAGGCGAUGAUGGGUAGCAGGCCUGAGAGUGUGAUCGGCGACAAGGUGACUUGUACACUGCCCUGACUCCUACGGGAGGCAGCAGUGGUGAAUAUUGGACAAUGGACCAAAGUCUGAUCCAGCAAUUCUGUGUGCACGAUGAAGUUGUCGGGAUGUAAAGUGCUUUCAGUUGGGAAGCGGUACCAACAGAAGAAGUGACGGCUAAAUACGUGCCAGCAGCCGCGGUAAUAC